rnacentral:tRNA from 1 species
GUCCCUGUAGCGCAAUGGAUACCACGUUGGACUUCUAAUCGGAAGGUCGUGGGUUCGAAUCCCACCUGGGAUG